GGAGGAGUGGCCGAGCGGUCGAAGGCGGCGGUCUUGAAAACCGCAGAGCCCUAUCGGGCUCCGGGGGUUCGAAUCCCUCCUCCUCCG
rnacentral:tRNA from 1 species